UGGUCAGUGGCUGAGUGGUUAGGGUUCUGGACUACUGAUCAGAAGUUUGUGAGUUCGAAUCUCAUGUCCUCCA